GCAGUCGAGCGGACCCGAGGUGCUUGCACCUCAAAGGGUCAGCGGCGGACGGGUGAGUAACACGUGGGCAACCUGCCCAACAGACUGGGAUAACUCCGGGAAACCGGAGCUAAUACCGGAUAGGAUCUUUUUGUCACCUGGCAGAAAGAGGAAAGGCGGUUUCGGCCGUCACUGUUGGAGGGGCCCGCGGCGCAUUAGCUAGUUGGUGAGGUAAGGGCUCACCAAGGCGACGAUGCGUAGCCGACCUGAGAGGGUGAUCGGCCACACUGGAACUGAGACACGGUCCAGACUCCUACGGGAGGCAGCAGUAGGGAAUCAUCCGCAAUGGGCGAAAGCCUGACGGUGCAAUGCCGCGUGAGUGAUGAAGGUUUUCGGAUCGUAAAGCUCUGUUGUGAGGGAAGAACAGUUCGAGGAGGCAAUGCCUCGGAUGUGACGGUACCUCACCAGAAAGCCACGGCUAACUACGUGCCAGCAGCCGCGGUAAUACGUAGGUGGCGAGCGUUGUCCGGAAUUAUUGGGCGUAAAGGGCACGCAGGCGGUUCAUUAAGUCUGAUGUGAAAGGCUGUGGCUCAACCACAGAAUGGCAUUGGAAACUGUUGAACUUGAGUGCAGAAGAGGAGAGUGGAAUUCCACGUGUAGCGGUGAAAUGCGUAGAUAUGUGGAGGAACACCAGUGGCGAAGGCGACUCUCUGGUCUGUAACUGACGCUGAGGUGCGAAAGCGUGGGGAGCGAACAGGAUUAGAUACCCUGGUAGUCCACGCCGUAAACGUUGAGUGCUAGGUGUUAGGGGUUUCGAUACCCGUAGUGCCGAAGCAAACGCAU
rnacentral:rRNA from 1 species